rnacentral:miRNA from 1 species
UAGCACCAUUAGAAAAUGGUAA